AGUGAACGCUGGCGGUAGGCCUAACACAUGCAAGUCGAACGGCAGCACAGAGGAGCUUGCCCCUUGGGUGGCGAGUGGCGGACGGGUGAGGAAUACAUCGGAAUCUACUCUGUCGUGGGGGAUAACGUAGGGAAACUUACGCUAAUACCGCAUACGACCUACGGGUGAAAGCAGGGGAUCUUCGGACCUUGCGCGAUUGAAUGAGCCGAUGUCGGAUUAGCUAGUUGGCGGGGUAAAGGCCCACCAAGGCGACGAUCCGUAGCUGGUCUGAGAGGAUGAUCAGCCACACUGGAACUGAGACACGGUCCAGACUCCUACGGGAGGCAGCAGUGGGGAAGAUGGGACAAUGGGCGCAAGCCUGAUCCAGCCAUACCGCGUGGGUGAAGAAGGCCUUCGGGUUGUAAAGCCCUUUUGUUGGGAAAGAAAUCCAUCUGGUUAAUACCCGGGUGGGAUGACGGUACCCAAAGAAUAAGCACCGGCUAACUUCGUGCCAGCCGCCGCCGUAA
rnacentral:rRNA from 1 species